rfam:Myotis davidii contig115541, whole genome shotgun sequence.
GGUGGUUCUCAGGUAAUGCACCCUGGAGUCGGGCUCCUUCCUCUCUGGUUCUGGGUGCAUCAUCCAAGAACUGUA